GGUAGUUUCGCGCCGGUCGUUGCUCCAUGCACGCGUGUUUCGUGCGGUUAGAAUAAUUUUUCAUGUUUUUAUUCGAUAAAUUGCGUUAUAUUUGUUCGACAAUUAACUAUGUAUUAGCCGGUCAUUAGUAUGUACGAGUAUAGUAUAAUGUAAUCUUUAAUCGCGCGUUGAAUGUUCCUAAGUGCUAGUUUCUUUUGUAUGCGUUCGCGGUUGUGAUGUUAUCGUUCGCCAUUGUGUUUGAUCGCAGUUCGAUGAGCUAACACAGCGGAUUGCGGGUUGUUCGAUGUCGGUCGUUGAGUGAAUUGAACAUUUGUCGCAGCCAUGUUGAUUGUUUACAUUAGAAAGACUCUUUGCGCUUGGUAUUUGCCAUGCCUUGGGGCCUGACUGGCAAUGGACUUUUUUUCUGGUUCUAGGAAUUUUGCACUUGAGUCUGACAUUGUAGAUGGACCAUUCUUGCAUCAGAUUUGAUUUUGCACCUGAGUCUGACACCGUAGAAGGACCAUUCUUGCAUCAAAUUUGAUUUUGCACCUGAGUCUGACACCGUAGAAGGACCAUUCUUACAUCAAAUUUGAUUCUGCACCUGAGUCUGACACCGCAGAAGGACCAUUCUUGCAUCAGAUUUGAUUUUGCACCUGAGUCUGACACCGUAGAAGGACCAUUCUUACAUCAGAUUUUGCAUUUUUAUGGUCGAAGGACUAAUUUUUGACGGUUUUGGUGAUUUUGCACCUGAGUCUGACACCGUACAAGGACCAUUCUUGCAUCAGAUUGAAUUUUGCACCUGAGUUUGACACCGUAGAAGGACCGACCAUUCUCGCAUGAGAAUGUAAGAAUUUAAUUUUUAUUUUCAACAUUCCUAAUUAGAAGAUUAAAUCGUAAUUACCUCGACAACUAAAAAUUCUCUACAAGAUGGCAUCUUUAUUAAAAAAUGAUGAAAAUUGCACAAAAAAAAUUUUAACGAAAGAUUUUGUUAUAAAAAAGGCAAAAGAUUUCUCUUCUUAAUGCUCGAAAUUAUAAGUUGGAAUUUUUUAA